rnacentral:rRNA from 1 species
UGGGUAACCUGCCCAUAAGACUGGGAUAACUCCGGGAAACCGGGGCUAAUACCGGAUAACAUUUUGAACUGCAUGGUUCGAAAUUGAAAGGCGGGCUUCGGCUGUCACUUAUGGAUGGACCCUGCGUCGCAUUAGCCUAGUUGGUGAGGUAACCGGCUCACCAAGGCAACGAUGCGUAACCGACCUGAGAGGGUGAUCGGCCACACUGGGACUGAGACACGGCCCAGACUCCUACGGGAGGCAGCAGUAGGGAAUCUUCCGCAAUGGACGAAAGUCUGACGGAGCAACGCCGCGUGAGUGAUGAAGGCUUUCGGGUCGUAAAACUCUGUUGNUAGGGAAGAACAAGUGCUAGUUGAAUAAGCUGGCACCUUGACGGUACCUAACCAGAAAGCCACGGCUAACUACGUGCCAGCAGCCGCGGUAAUACGUAGGUGGCAAGCGUUAUCCGGAAUUAUUGGGCGUAAAGCGCGCGCAGGUGGUUUCUUAAGUCUGAUGUGAAAGCCCACGGCUCAACCGGUGGAGGGUCAUUGGAAACUGGGAGACUUGAGUGCAGAAGAAGGAAAGUGGAAUUCCAUGUGUAAGCGGUGAAAUGCGUAAAAUAUUGGAGGAACACCAUGGGCGAAGGCGA